CAUGAGAAACUUAUGAAAGCUAUAUGCGCCAAGAGAGAGCCUUGCGUUCCAUUAGCUAGUUGGGGGGGUAAUGGCCCACCAAGGCGACGAUGGAUAGCCGGCCUGAGAGGGUGAACGGCCACAAGGGGACUGAGACACGGCCCUUACUCCUACGGGAGGCAGCAGUGGGGAAUAUUGGACAAUGGGCCACAAGCCUGAUCCAGCAAUUCUGUGUGCACGAUGAAGGUCUUCGGAUUGUAAAGUGCUUUCAGUUGGGAAGAAGAAAGUGACGGUACCAACAGAAGAAGCGACGGCUAAAUACGUGCCAGCAGCCGCGGUAAUACGUAUGUCGCAAGCGUUAUCCGGAUUUAUUGGGCGUAAAGCGCGUCUAGGCGGAAAAAUAAGUCUGAUGUUAAAAUGCGGGGCUCAACUCCGUAUUGCGUUGGAAACUGUUUUUCUAGAGUACUGGAGAGGUGGGCGGAACUACAAGUGUAGAGGUGAAAUUCGUAGAUAUUUGUAGGAAUGCCGAUGGAGAAGUCAGCUCACUGGACAGAUACUGACGCUGAAGCGCGAAAGCGUGGGGAGAAAACAGGAUUAGAUCCCCUGGUAGUCCACGCCGUACCCGAAAAGGGGUAGGUGUUGGGGGUCGAACCUCAGCGCCCAAGCUAAACGCGAUAAAUGUUCCGCCUGGGGAGUAUGCACGCAAGUGUGAAACUCAAAAGAAUAGGACGGGGGCCCGCACAAGCGGUGGAGCAUGUGGUUUAUUUUGUCGCAACGCGAGAAACCUUACCAGCGUUUGACAUCCUAAGAAGUUUCCAGAGAAGGAUUCGUGCCGGCUUGCCGGAACUUAGUGACAGGUGGUGCGUGGCUGUCGUCUGCUCGUGUCGU
rnacentral:rRNA from 1 species